AGUACUCUAGCUCAGUUGGUUGGAGCAUGGUGCUAAUAACACCCAGGUCAUGGGUUCAAUCCCCUUAUGGGCCG